GACGGAGGGCGCAAGCGUUGUUCGGAAUUACUGGGCGUAAAGCGCACGCAGGUGGUCUCUUAAGUCCACUGUUAAAUCACGGGGCUCAACCCCGGAGGUGCAGCGGAUACUGAGGGACUGGAGACCGGUAGAGGCUAGCGGAAUUCCUGGUGUAGCGGUGGAAUGCGUAGAUAUCAGGAGGAACACCGGUGGCGAAGGCGGCUAGCUGGGCCGGUUCUGACGCUCAUGUGCGAAAGCGUGGGGAGCAAACAGG
rnacentral:rRNA from 1 species